rnacentral:rRNA from 1 species
ACGGAGUACUUCGGUACUUAGUGGCGGACGGGUGAGUAACGCGUGAGAAUCUGCCUUCAGGUUCGGGACAACCACUGGAAACGGUGGCUAAUACCGAAUGUGCAGUAAUGUGAAAUAUUUAUAGCCUGGAGAUAAGCUCGCGUCUGAUUAGCUAGUAGGUGUGGUAACAGCGCACCUAGGCGACGAUCAGUAGCUGGUCUGAGAGGAUGAUCAGCCACACUGGGACUGAGACACGGCCCAGACUCCUACGGGAGGCAGCAGUGGGGAAUUUUCCGCAAUGGGCGAAAGCCUGACGGAGCAAUACCGCGUGAGGGAGGAAGGCUCUUGGGUUGUAAACCUCUUUUCUCAGGGAAGAAAAAAAUGACGGUACCUGAGGAAUAAGCAUCGGCUAACUUCGUGCCAGCAGCCGCGGUAAUACGGAGGAUGCAAGCGUUAUCCGGAAUGAUUGGGCGUAAAGCGUCCGCAGGUGGCUAUGUAAGUCUGCUGUUAAAGAGUCUGGCUCAACCAGAUAAAGGCAGUGGAAACUACAUGGCUAGAGUGCGUUCGGGGCAGAGGGAAUUCCUGGUGUAGCGGUGAAAUGCGUAGAGAUCAGGAAGAACACCGGUGGCGAAAGCGCUCUGCUAGGCCGCAACUGACACUGAGGGACGAAAGCUAGGGGAGCGAAUGGGAUUAGAUACCCCAGUAGUCCUAGCCGUAAACGAUGGAUACUAG